rnacentral:rRNA from 1 species
AUUGAACGCUGGCGGCAGGCUUAACACAUGCAAGUCGAGCGGGGGAAGGUAGCUUGCUACCGGACCUAGCGGCGGACGGGUGAGUAAUGCUUAGGAAUCUGCCUAUUAGUGGGGGACAACAUCUCGAAAGGGAUGCUAAUACCGCAUACGUCCUACGGGAGAAAGCAGGGGAUCUUCGGACCUUGCGCUAAUAGAUGAGCCUAAGUCGGAUUAGCUGGUUGGUGGGGUAAAGGCCUACCAAGGCGACGAUCUGUAGCGGGUCUGAGAGGAUGGACCGCCACACUGGGACUGAGACACGGCCCAGACUCCUACGGGAGGCAGCAGUGGGGAAUAUUGGACAAUGGGGGGAACCCUGAUCCAGCCAUGCCGCGUGUGUGAAGAAGGCCUUAUGGUUGUAAAGCACUUUAAGCGAGGAGGAGGCUACUCUAGUUAAUACCUAGGGAUAGUGGACGUUACUCGCAGAAUAAGCACCGGCUAACUCUGUGCCAGCCGCCGCCGUAA